rnacentral:tRNA from 1 species
CCAAAGUGCAAAUUUGGAGACGCACCCUAAAGGUGCCGGGGCUUCUCCCGUUUUAAAUCAAACGGGAGAAGA